GCUCACUUUGGCAGCACAUACUAAAAUUGCGCAUGGCCCCUGCGCAAGGAUGACAUGCAAAUUCGUGAAGUGUUCCAUGCUUUU
rnacentral:snRNA from 1 species